rnacentral:rRNA from 1 species
ACAAGUCCGUGAGGGAAAGGUGAAAAGUACUCUGAAAAGAGAGUUAAAAAGUACGUGAAACCGUUGGAAGGGAAGCGAAUGGAGUCGGCAAUUCGCCUCGCCUGAUUCAUCCACUCUCAUUCUGCAACGUGCUCUCUCGCGACCUGUUCGCAGGCGCGAAUUGCGCGGUCGCAGUACGGGUGUGGUGCACUUCGGCGGGCGAGCGUCAACGCCAGUCAACCGCGAGUUACAAAGCUGCGAGCACGGUACAUUCUUCGGAAUGGGUAAGGCUUGCCUGCGCACGACUCGCGCGAGACUGUCCUCUGUCGCAGCGUGUCCCUUUCCCGGCUUGCCGGUACAGGCUGCUGCCUUUGUUGUCGAUCCGGUUGUGCUGUCCGGCGGACGGCUGUGCGCCUGUGCGUCGGCGGUGCCGCUGAUCAACUGACUUAGUCGCAGACACGACACGCUCAGUACGUUGACCGACCUGCGUCUCCAUCCGACCCGUCUUGAAACACGGACCAAGGAGUCCAACAUGUGCGCAAGUCUCAGGGUGAUCGAAACCCGUCGCGGGCGCAAUGAAAGUAAAUGCGGUCUCGCGGCUGCAGAGAUGAGAAGCGCGCGCAUUCGUGCGCCGCCACAUCAUCGACCGACCUGUUCUACUCUUAGAAAGGUUUGAGUUAGAGCGCACCUGUUGGGACCCGAAAGAUGGUGAACUAUGCCUGAAUAGGGCGAAGCCAGCGGAAACACUGGUGGAAGCUCGUAGCGUUUCUGACGUGCAAAUCGAUCGUCGAAUUUGGGUAUAGCGGCGAAAGACUAAUCGAACCAUCUAGUAGCUGGUUCCCUCCGAAGUUUCUCACAGGAUAGCUGGAACUC